rnacentral:sRNA from 1 species
UGAUGUAGCUGGGUUAUUUUAAGUGAGGAUUUGGUAAAUAUGGGGCCAAAACAAAUUCGCCAUAUCGCCAUAUUAAUACAUUUACAAUUUUAACACAAGAGUUACAUAUACUACCAACAGUUCUCUUCUUCAUUUAAUUUUUGUUCUAGAAUAAUGAUAAUAAUAGUCUAAACUACCGCGCUUAAAAAAAAAAAAAAAACUCUGACGGGUUGGGCGCCAUCGGAAGAAUAGGAACUUCGGGAAAAAGUCAACGGUUAAUACCCAACAGAGAUACACAGAAGCGAGAUAAUCAUGCUCAAUUAAGCAUCCCCGAAAACAUCUUCAUCACC